UACCAGCACCCCGAGUGGUCGGGACGAUUAUUAGGCCUAAAGCAUCCGUAGCCGGUUCUACAAGUCUUCCGUUAAAUCCACCUGCUUAACAGAUGGGCUGCGGAGGAUACUAUGGAGCUAGGAGGCGGGAGAGGCAAGCGGUACUUAGUGGGUAGGGGUAAAAUCCGUUGAUCCAUUGAAGACCACCAGUGGCGAAGGCGGCUUGCCAGAACGCACUCGACGGUGAGGGAUGAAAGCUGGGGGAGCAAACCGG
rnacentral:rRNA from 1 species